rnacentral:rRNA from 1 species
CCUACGGGAGGCAGCAGUGGGGAAUAUUGCACAAUGGGGGGAACCCUGAUGCAGCGACGCCGCGUGAGUGAAGAAGUAUUUCGGUAUGUAAAGCUCUAUCAGCAGGGAAGAAAAUGACGGUACCUGACUAAGAAGCCCCGGCUAACUACGUGCCAGCAGCCGCGGUAAUACGUAGGGGGCAAGCGUUAUCCGGAUUUACUGGGUGUAAAGGGAGCGCAGACGGCUGUGCAAGUCUGGAGUGAAAGGGGGGGGCCCAACCCCCGGAGUGCUCUGGAAACUGUAAAGCUGGAGUGCAGGAGAGGUAAGCGGAAUUCCUAGUGUAGCGGUGAAAUGCGUAGAUAUUAGGAGGAACACCAGUGGCGAAGGCGGCUUACUGGACUGCAACUGACGUUGAGGCUCGAAAGCGUGGGGAGCAAACAGGAUUAGAUACCCUAGUAGUC